rnacentral:lncRNA from 1 species
GUGGUUUUCUAAAUACUGCGGUCCUAUGUUCUCCUCCUUGUAUACUAAUAUGGCGGACCCAAUGGCGGAAAUUAUGCUAAGACAGUUGGAAUCUUCAGUUGUACAAAAAUUCAGGCUUUCAUUGAAAUUCUGUCAGGUAUGUGGAUGACAUAUUAGCAGUAUAGAGAAGCAAAGCCGUGGUAAUGAAGCUAGAGGAAGCCUUUAUCAUGCCGGCGUGUGGUAUCAAGCUUAAUGUAAUGCAGAAGUGUCAACCAAGGGCAAGUUUUCUGGACAUUGAUAUUAGUAUAAAAUACAGGAAAACAGCCUUUGGGGUCUAUUUCAGAGGGUCAUGCCUAUAUACCACCAAUCGGCAAGAUCUACAUAGGGAAUUGCGGUUUAUAUAUGAAAUUGGU